ensembl:lncRNA
GGAUCAACGAGGUGCCAUCAAACUUGAAGGAGACGUGUUCUGAGUCUGCACAGUCGAUGCGUUCACGGCAUCACCACUGAACUUGCAUCAUUUCCCCCCUAAAGAGGCGGACUCGCUUUCCGUGGUGCUGAAACCAACGACUCGGCUGAUCAACUAGUGAAGAAGAAGAAGAAGACACUUCAUCACCUGCUUCUUCUGAGCUUCAUGGUGUUUCGGAGCCUUGGCGAGAACUUCUUCCAUUAGUGUCUGACAGUGCUGCACCAUGCUGUGGAUGAAGAUGAAGAUGGUGAUGGACUCCCUGUGUGGACGGAGAAGGAGGCUGCCCUGCUCCGUCUGGUUCAUCCUGCUGUUCGCUGCUGGAGGUCUGGUUCUUUUCAUCCACCAGCAGGAUCUGUCAGAGAUGGUCCAGCAACAUGGCCCAGAUUGGUUAAAUCAACUUGCAAGAAUGAGGCCAUACCCUGCAUUGGCAGCCACAUGCAGAC